CUACCGGCGUCGAGAGGCGGCGGGAUGGCUGUGCAGAAGUCAGCAGAGGGCAUAGUGGGCCGAGAGGCUGAAGGCC
rnacentral:ncRNA from 1 species